UUACUGGUGAAAGUCCAGUCAAGGUAAUUGCCAAGAAGCCUUGUAGCUAACCACCAAGCGUAGUAGAAAUACUGGGUUUGAAGCGUGGGGGUAAAGUAACCCGAAAGGGUGCGAGCAAGAAUGCAGGUGGUAACAUAA
rnacentral:ncRNA from 1 species